AUGAGUGGCGGUACUAGUAUCGAUUCAGAAGAAGUUCAUGAGAACCAAUUGACUAACUAUAAAAACAGAUGGCGAUUGUUGGCUUUGGGCAGAGUUUUUUGUUGGCGAACGCUUUUGAGAAGCGUUUUUCCGCGAGCGGUUGGAAGGUGUGAUUCCGGUGUGAGGGGGACGGCUUCGAUUCGUUCUUUAUUUGAGUUGGUUCAGGCGGAGGAUUUACGACGGUGGAAGUGGAUCUGUGAGGACGUCAUGCGGGUCAAUUUGUUGACAGCGGCGAAGCUUGUGGUCAGGCUGUUAACAUUGUUGGAAUCGCGGCGGAGGGAAGACUCGAAUUCGCGGUGCAGUUUCACCCGGAGGGUGGUCAUGUACAUGGGCGAUGGUUGUGCGGCUGACGUCGGAUCUACGAACAUGUUGUGUGGGAGCUCUUGA